CAAACUGUGCAGAUGUUCCACAGAUGGUCCAAUGGUGGAUUAUGAGAAGAGAAUUGCAUUAGGAGAUCUUGUAGAUUGUGAUAGCUUCCAGUGUUGACAAUGCUCGCAUGCACAUAAAAACAUUUUAAAUCGGUUGCUGCGGGUGGCGGUGCUCUGGGGGUGCAAGGGUAGCGUGGUGCACAACUCCGACUGUUGAAGACACCGCGGCACAACCGCGUCGGUCUGUGUGCACCCCAAGUUCUUCCACACCAACCUGACCUUUCAUAAGUGGGUGUUCGGAGGUUUGGCGCCCUUGCCUAUCCAUUCUCUGAUUCGGUUUGGUGUGGUGGAGAUGUAAGUGUCUGAUAGUCUUCAGUUUGUCAGAACAAAGGGUACGAGGUAACUACAAGAUGCAUUGCUUGCUGGUUUGUUACGAUAUUUGACCUGAUGGGAGAUAAGAUGAAUUACUUGCUGGUUUGGUAUGAUAUUUGGCCUGAGUGGAGAUAAGAUGAAUUACUUGCUGGUUUAUCUGAGUAACUUGGUUGCACUAAUACUAAAAACACAUGUUAUCUGUUUCUCCCUUGCUAUUUCUAUCUAGGGAAGAUUAUAGUUUGACCAUGGAGUAGAAAUCAAAUGCUUCAUAUUGGAAUGUUUGUUGGAUAAGAAGGUACAAAAACUAAACGGUGUUCUCAUGGCUUUUCUUCUUUAUGUUUGGUGUUCAAGAUACUUAUGCCACCAUGUAAAAUAUUUAUCUAAUAACUUCUCUCUUGGUGUGCAGCUAUAUCUGAACCUCUUGAUAAUGCAGUAGAUGAGCUUUGUAAUAUCUUCUAACAUCUUAUAUGAACUAGAUACUCGCUAAUUUAAAUUGUGCGAUCAUACUCAAACGCCUGAAACACGAAGUAUUCUGUUGUAAGCUGAAAAUUUGUGAUGUCACAUUCCUGUUUCUCGAAAAACACGCUAUACUGCUAUUGCAUUUAUUUGUUUAUUUUGUUGUAUUUGUGUAUUAUAACACAAUGCUCUAUUGAUCAGCGUGUUGGUAACUUCGCUCCCUAACACAUGCCUCAUCACUGAUGGCGGCGACAUGUAACUUUGAGAACUGAAAUUAUUAUAACCAGUGUUACAGAUGCUUGCCGAGGAAAAGUCCUUCCAGCAAAAGAAGAACCGGAGGCAGGUUUCCUAUCUUGACCAGUAUUUCCUUUUGUUCCUAAUUGUUGGCUCUUUCCUAUGGAAGCUCUGAAAAAAAAUGAAGAGGCCUAAAAUUAAGGACUAAUGCUUUUGACAUCUGAUUUGAGAAAACUGAUUUACAGAAUAUAAGUAGAAGGUAGAUUGUAGCAUUCAUCAUUGCUAUCUUAUACAUAGACAGUUGGUGUCUAGAGUGACGCCGUCGACGAGCAAGUCGGCGUCUAUGAAGCUUCGCUGGAGCCAUUCCAGCUCUUCCAGAGUCACAAGGAGAGCCUGAAGUCAGGGCAGGGAAGCUGAGGAGCCAGGACACCAACGGUGCUAAGCCAUUUGCCAUCGAGAGGACAAUGGCUGCCAUCAGGGACCUCCAGACCAAGCUCAACAUCUCCCUCGCCUCCGUUGAUGACGUGUUUCAAGAGGGUUAUCGCUGUCCACGACGGCGAGCUAAUGCGACUGGCAAGGGUGUGGUGAAUCAUCGGCUAUGCGCAUCGGGUGAUGAAGCGCAUGGAGGACGAGGCGAGCACGCGGAAGCAUCAAGGGCCUGCCGUCGCCGCCGCGGCCGACAUCCACGCCAUUUCUAUUGAUAUAUCUUAUGUUGCCAAACAGCAAAAUA